CGGGCCAGAAGAGCGCGCGUUACCCGGUGUACGGUGUUGGAAGAGCCAAUCUAAAGAAAACACCUGAGGGGGAGUAACGCCGAGGUGGUGAAGUGCAUGGCGGCAUUCAUCAUCGGCUACAGGGGCUGAAUCCCUUGAGUUGUCACCAGAAACGUUCGCAGUCGGGCGUUUCACAAGUGGUGGAGCACUUCUGGGUGU
rnacentral:ncRNA from 1 species